rnacentral:misc_RNA from 1 species
GAUGAAGACGCAGUGAAAUGCGAUAAGUAAUGUGAAUUGCAGAAUUCAGUGAAUCAUCGAAUCUUUGAACGCACAUUGCGCCCGCCAGUAUUCUGGCGGGCAUGCCUGUCCGAGCGUCAUUUCAACCCUCGAACCCCUCCGGGGGGUCGGCGUUGGGGACCUCGGGAGCCCCUAAGACGGGAUCCCGGCCCCGAAAUACAGUGGCGGUCUCGCCGCAGCCUCUCCUGCGCAGUAGUUUGCACAACUCGCACCGGGAGCGCGGCGCGUCCACGUCCGUAAAACACCCAACUUCUGAAAUGUUGACCUCGGAUCAGGUAGGAAUACCCGCUGAACUUAAGCAUAUCAAUAAGCGGAGGA